UCUCUCUCUCUCUCUCUCUCUCUGUGCUCUGUUUGGCUCUGUUCUUUGAUACACUCUCUUUUGUCUUCAAAAAUCCUUUCCAGUCUCCAAUAAGUUCCAAGAAAUGGAAUUACCAGCAUCCAAAUCCACCAGAAAGCAUGAACAGAUCAUUCCUCCAAAGAGAGGACAAAUCAAGAUCAAGAUUGUCAAGAACAUCAUCAGAUCAGCUGCUGCAAUUGCCGCAAAUGGUAAAAAGCACAAAGAAAUUGGGUGUUCCCACAUCUCAAGCCCACCAACACCAGCAACUCCAACUCGGUAUCACUCAGAUGCCUUUAUGGAGUCUUGAUCUUGGUUAGCCCCUUCUUGCAAAGUAUUACUAAGUAGAAAUCUUUUAUUAAGUUCUGUAGCCUAAGUUAGACUGGUCUUGUCCUCUGUAUUCUUGAAUAAUUUGUCCACUUACCACUUCUUUUUCUUCAUUUUUCCCCUUCUAUUGGCUUAUAGAAGAUGGGUUUUUGUAGAAAUUGGACAUCUGUGUCACUGCUAAAUAAAUCUCUUCAGUUUUCCCCUUCUAUUAGCUUAUAGAAGAUGGGUUUUU
rnacentral:misc_RNA from 1 species